rnacentral:tRNA from 1 species
GCCGAUGUAGCUCAGUGGUAGAGCAACGCUUUCGUAAAGCGUAGGUCGGCGGUUCAAUCCCGCCCAUCGGCUCCA